AUGUCUGCGGACUUACAACACUAGAAACCAGUUUCGAUACCCGUGUUGGACAGAGCACAGAUAGCCCAUUAACUUCAAACAAACAAAGCAAAACGGCGUGGAAACUAUUGAGUUGAUAAUGAACUCGUCCGAAAGUACAAACGUAACUGUUGUUGCAUCAUCAUCGGCUAAGAAAGGAAAGUGCGAAGCGACAUUUUGCAGCAAUGAGAUAGAUCCGAACCAUGGGCUUUUGAAUCCAUAAAACAGCACUGACCAUUUGGCCACACCAUGCCCUUGGUUGAGAUUUACCCUUCCCUAAUGCAAACUGAAAUCCAAUUUGUUCUCCCCCCCCCCAUCUACCAAUACAUUGGCUUCCUUGCUUCCAAUGUAAUUUUUUGUGUGUACAAUAAGAUAAGGCUUCCAACAAAAUCAGUGUCUCGUGAGUAUGUUUAGUAAUUAUUUUUUCAUUACUUAGCUUCAGUGUAUGUGUACAGAAAGACACUUAAAGAGUGUAUAUGUAUAUUGGUUUAUUUAGUAACACAGUUUCUUUUACAGCGCCUAUACAUUAUAACCUUAUGAUAAGCACUUUUAUUAUACAUUAAAAAUGUGUUCCUUAUU
rnacentral:lncRNA from 1 species